rnacentral:lncRNA from 1 species
UAUGGGAUCGGGGAUCAGGGAUUUAUGGGAUUUAUGGGGUUUGGGGUUUAUGGGAUUGUGGGAUGUGUGGUACAGGGAUCAGUUCCUGCCCCUCGUGUUCCACAGACACCCCAGGUAACGGGAUUCGGGAUUUAUGGGAUUUGGGGUUUGGGGUUUAUGGGAUAUUUGGGGUUUAUGGGAUUGGGAAUGUGAGAUAUGUGGGACAGGGAUGAGUUGCUGCUGUUUUUCCCAUUUUCCCUCACUUUUCCCCUGUUUUUCCUGUUCUUUCCUUAUUUUCACCCCAUUUUCUUCACCCACUUUUCCCCCAUUUUUCCUCCCAUUUUUUUCCCAUUUCUCCCCCAUUUCUCCCCAUUUUUUCCCAUUUUCUCCCCAUUUUUCCCCAUUCCUCCCCAUUUUUUUCCCAUUUCUCCCCAUUUCCCCCCAUUUUUUUCCCAUUUUCACCCCGUUUUCACCCCGUUUCUCCCCAUUUUCACCCCGUUUCUCCCAUUUUCACCCCGUUUCACCCCAUUUCUCCCCGUUUUCACCCCGUUUUUCCCCAUUUUUCCCCAUUUCCCCCCGUUUCUCCCCGUUUCCCAGCCCCGAGUACUCCCGCUACUUUUCCCGGCGGGAUCUGGAGGCGUUUUCGGCGGAGCCGCUGCUGCUGUUCCCCACUCACUACACGGGGGAGCCCGGCUACGUCAGCGACACCGAGACGGCCCCGGCGCCGCCGCGCGACGAGCUCUGACCCCAAUAAAACUCACACUUGGAUUUUUAAACGGCUUUUUGCUGGUUUUAUUUUCGGGAUUUUUUUUGGGAUUUUUGGGGAUUUUUUAUGGGGUUUUUUGGGAUUUUUUUUGGAUUUUUUGGGGAUUUUUUUAUGGGUUAUUUUGGGGUUUUUUGGGGAUUUUUUUCUUGGGUUUUUGGGGAUUUUUUCUGGGUUUUAUUGGGAUUUUUUCCAGGGUUUUUUGGGAUUUUUUCUGGGUUUUAUUGGGAUUUUUUCUGGCUUUUAUUGGGAUUUUUUCUGGGUUUUAUUGGGAUUUUUUCUGGGUUUUUUGGGAUUUCUUUUUUGAUUUUUUGGGGGAUUUUUUCUUGGGUUUUUUAGGAUUUUUUUCUGGGUUUUUUGGGAUUUUUUCUGGGUUAUUUUGGGAUUUUUUCUGGCUUUUAUUGGGAUUUUUUCCAGGGUUUUUUGGGGGAUUUUUUUGGGAUCUUUUGGGUAAAUUUUUGGGGUUAUUUUGGGGAUUUUCUUUGGAUAUUUUGGGGAUGUUUUUGGGGAUAAUUUGGGGAUAUUUUGGGAUAUUUUUUGGGGAUAUUUUGGGAAUAUUUUGGGGAUGUUUUUGGGGAUAAUUUGGGGAUAUU